AUUUGGCGGACGGGUGAGUAACACGUGAGUAAUCUGCCUUUAGCUUUGGGAUAGGCCUCGGAAACGGGGUCUAAUACCAGAUAUGACUCUUCCCUGCAUGGGGUUGGGUGGAAAGUUUUUCGGCUAGAGAUGAGCUCGCGGUCUAUCAGCUUGUUGGUGGGGUAAUGGCUCACCAAGGCUUUGACGGGUAGCCGGCCUGAGAGGGCGACCGGCCACACUGGGACUGAGACACGGUCCAGACUCCUACGGGAGGCAGCAGUGGGGAAUAUUGGACAAUGGGCGAAAGCCUGAUCCAGCCAUGCCGCGUGUGCGAUGAAGGCCUUCGGGUUGUAAAGCACUUUUGGCAGGAAAGAAACGUCAUGGGCUAAUACCCCGUGAAACUGACGGUACCUGCAGAAUAAGCACCGGCUAACUACGUGCCAGCAGCCGCGGUAAUAAUC
rnacentral:rRNA from 1 species